UACGUAGGGUGCGAGCGUUGUCCGGAAUUAUUGGGCGUAAAGGGCUCGUAGGCGGUUUGUCGCGUCGGGAGUGAAAACCAGGUGCUUAACACCUGGCUUGCUUUCGAUACGGGCAGACUAGAGGCAUGCAGGGGAGAACGGAAUUCCUGGUGUAGCGGUGAAAUGCGCAGAUAUCAGGAAGAACACCAAUGGCGAAAGCAGCUCUCUGGGACGGUACUGACGCUGAGACGCGAAAGCGUGGGGAGCGAACAGG
rnacentral:rRNA from 1 species